rnacentral:lncRNA from 1 species
CACAGGGAGUUUCCAGACUGGGAACAUACAGAGGGCUGGGAAGUUGGCCUACAAGGGCCAGGAGUAACUCCACACAUUCUUCCCACACCAAACCCCACACCUCUCUUAACAUUUCCUAAACUGCAUCCUUUAAAAGCUGGCAAAUUUUAAGUCAGGAACUUGGUCGUGCCAGCCAGUUGGAAACAUUGACCCGUCUUCCCUUCGGAUUGGGGCAGAUAGGAUGGGUCAGUGGAUAAGUUUGCUUGCCAAGGAGCCUGAGAGAGAAGCCUGAGUCCAGUUCCUAGAACUCACAUGGUGGAGAGAACUGACUUCUGAAAGUUGUCCUCUGAUAUUCACGUGAGUAUGUGCUACUCUUUGUGUGUUUACACACACACACACACACACACACACUGUUUUUUGAAAAAAAUAUAGGGUUGGAGAGAUGGCUCAGCAGUUAAGAGCUCUUGGUGCUCUUGCAAAGAACCCACGUUUGGUUCCCAGCACCCAUAUAACAGUUCCUUACUGCCUCUAAUUGCACUUCCAGGGGAUCCAAUGUCCUCGUCUGGCCUUGGUAGGCACCUGCAUAUAGGUAGCCCAUAUACUCUAAAAAAACAAAACAACAACAACAACAAUAACAAAACCUUUCGAUCAUAUGUGAGGACUUCUGAAUUCUCUUCCAAAUUUCAUUGAUCUUUGUAGAUGUCUUUCUGUCAAAGCCAUUCUGUCCCCAUGGCAUUUUGAAGCCCUGACCCUGUCACUGUUCUCUGUGAGAUUCCUCUAGCUACUUUGGUCUCUCUGAUUUUUACA